AUUGAACGCUGGCGGCAGGCCUAACACAUGCAAGUCGAGCGGUAGAGAGGUGCUUGCACCUCUUGAGAGCGGCGGACGGGUGAGUAAUACAUGGGAAUCUGCCUGGUAGUGGGGGACAACGUUUCGAAAGGAAUGCUAAUACCGCAUACGCCCUACGGGGGAAAGGGGGGGAUCUUCGGACCUCUCGCUAUCAGAUGAGC
rnacentral:rRNA from 1 species